AUUGAACGCUGGCGGCAGGCCUAACACAUGCAAGUCGAACGAGUGGCGGACGGGUGAGUAAUGUCUGGGAAACUGCCUGACGGAGGGGGAUAACUACUGGAAACGGUAGCUAAUACCGCAUACCAUCGGAUGUGCCCAGAUGGGAUUAGCUAGUAGGUGGGGUAAAGGCUCACCUAGGCGACGAUCCCUAGCUGGUCUGAGAGGUUGACCAGUCACACAGGAACUGAGACACGGUCGAGAGUCUUACGGGAGGCAGAAGAGGGGAAUAUUGCACAAUGGACGAAAGUCUGAUGGAGCCAUGCCGCGUGUAUGAAGAAGGCCUUCGGGUUGAAAGGAACUUUCAGCAGGGAGGCGUUACCCACAAAAGCAGGGCCGGCUAACUCCGUGCCAGCAGCCGCGGUAAUAC
rnacentral:rRNA from 1 species